GGGUUGUGAGGUUAAGCGACUAAGCGUACACGGUGGAUGCCCUGGCAGUCAGAGGCGAUGAAGGACGUGCUAAUCUGCGAUAAGCGUCGGUAAGGUGAUAUGAACCGUUAUAACCGGCGAUUUCCGAAUGGGGAAACCCAGUGUGAUUCGUCACACUAUCAUUAACUGAAUCCAUAGGUUAAUGAGGCGAACCGGGGGAACUGAAACAUCUAAGUACCCCGAGGAAAAGAAAUCAACCGAGAUUCCCCAGUAGCGGCGAGCGAACGGGGAGCAGCCCAGAGCCUGAAUCAGUGUGUGUGUUAGUGGAAGCGUCUGGAAAGGCGUGCGAUACAGGGUGACAGCCCCGUACACAAAAAUGCACAUACUGUGAGCUCGAUGAGUAGGGCGGGACACGUGGUAUCCUGUCUGAAUAUGGGGGGACCAUCCUCCAAGGCUAAAUACUCCUGACUGACCGAUAGUGAACCAGUACCGUGAGGGAAAGGCGAAAAGAACCCCGGCGAGGGGAGUGAAAAAGAACCUGAAACCGUGUACGUACAAGCAGUGGGAGCACGCUUAGGCGUGUGACUGCGUACCUUUUGUAUAAUGGGUCAGCGACUUAUAUUCUGUAGCAAGGUUAACCGAAUAGGGGAGCCGAAGGGAAACCGAGUCUUAACUGGGCGUUAAGUUGCAGGGUAUAGACCCGAAACCCGGUGAUCUAGCCAUGGGCAGGUUGAAGGUUGGGUAACACUAACUGGAGGACCGAACCGACUAAUGUUGAAAAAUUAGCGGAUGACUUGUGGCUGGGGGUGAAAGGCCAAUCAAACCGGGAGAUAGCUGGUUCUCCCCGAAAGCUAUUUAGGUAGCGCCUCGUGAAUUCAUCUCCGGGGGUAGAGCACUGUUUCGGCAAGGGGGUCAUCCCGACUUACCAACCCGAUGCAAACUGCGAAUACCGGAGAAUGUUAUCACGGGAGACACACGGCGGGUGCUAACGUCCGUCGUGAAGAGGGAAACAACCCAGACCGCCAGCUAAGGUCCCAAAGUCAUGGUUAAGUGGGAAACGAUGUGGGAAGGCCCAGACAGCCAGGAUGUUGGCUUAGAAGCAGCCAUCAUUUAAAGAAAGCGUAAUAGCUCACUGGUCGAGUCGGCCUGCGCGGAAGAUGUAACGGGGCUAAACCAUGCACCGAAGCUGCGGCAGCGACGCUUAUGCGUUGUUGGGUAGGGGAGCGUUCUGUAAGCCUGUGAAGGUGUACUGUGAGGUAUGCUGGAGGUAUCAGAAGUGCGAAUGCUGACAUAAGUAACGAUAAAGCGGGUGAAAAGCCCGCUCGCCGGAAGACCAAGGGUUCCUGUCCAACGUUAAUCGGGGCAGGGUGAGUCGACCCCUAAGGCGAGGCCGAAAGGCGUAGUCGAUGGGAAACAGGUUAAUAUUCCUGUACUUGGUGUUACUGCGAAGGGGGGACGGAGAAGGCUAUGUUGGCCGGGCGACGGUUGUCCCGGUUUAAGCGUGUAGGCUGGUUUUCCAGGCAAAUCCGGAAAAUCAAGGCCGAGGCGUGAUGACGAGGCACUACGGUGCUGAAGCAACAAAUGCCCUGCUUCCAGGAAAAGCCUCUAAGCAUCAGGUAACAUCAAAUCGUACCCCAAACCGACACAGGUGGUCAGGUAGAGAAUACCAAGGCGCUUGAGAGAACUCGGGUGAAGGAACUAGGCAAAAUGGUGCCGUAACUUCGGGAGAAGGCACGCUGAUACGUAGGUGAAGCGACUUGCUCGUGGAGCUGAAAUCAGUCGAAGAUACCAGCUGGCUGCAACUGUUUAUUAAAAACACAGCACUGUGCAAACACGAAAGUGGACGUAUACGGUGUGACGCCUGCCCGGUGCCGGAAGGUUAAUUGAUGGGGUUAGCGCAAGCGAAGCUCUUGAUCGAAGCCCCGGUAAACGGCGGCCGUAACUAUAACGGUCCUAAGGUAGCGAAAUUCCUUGUCGGGUAAGUUCCGACCUGCACGAAUGGCGUAAUGAUGGCGAGGCUGUCUCCACCCGAGACUCAGUGAAAUUGAACUCGCUGUGAAGAUGCAGUGUACCCGCGGCAAGACGGAAAGACCCCGUGAACCUUUACUAUAGCUUGACACUGAACAUUGAGCCUUGAUGUGUAGGAUAGGUGGGAGGCUUUGAAGUGUGGACGCCAGUCUGCAUGGAGCCGACCUUGAAAUACCACCCUUUAAUGUUUGAUGUUCUAACGUGGACCCGUAAUCCGGGUUGCGGACAGUGUCUGGUGGGUAGUUUGACUGGGGCGGUCUCCUCCUAAAGAGUAACGGAGGAGCACGAAGGUUGGCUAAUCCUGGUCGGACAUCAGGAGGUUAGUGUAAUGGCAUAAGCCAGCUUGACUGCGAGCGUGACGGCGCGAGCAGGUGCGAAAGCAGGUCAUAGUGAUCCGGUGGUUCUGAAUGGAAGGGCCAUCGCUCAACGGAUAAAAGGUACUCCGGGGAUAACAGGCUGAUACCGCCCAAGAGUUCAUAUCGACGGCGGUGUUUGGCACCUCGAUGUCGGCUCAUCACAUCCUGGGGCUGAAGUAGGUCCCAAGGGUAUGGCUGUUCGCCAUUUAAAGUGGUACGCGAGCUGGGUUUAGAACGUCGUGAGACAGUUCGGUCCCUAUCUGCCGUGGGCGCUGGAGAACUGAGGGGGGCUGCUCCUAGUACGAGAGGACCGGAGUGGACGCAUCACUGGUGUUCGGGUUGUCAUGCCAAUGGCACUGCCCGGUAGCUAAAUGCGGAAGAGAUAAGUGCUGAAAGCAUCUAAGCACGAAACUUGCCCCGAGAUGAGUUCUCCCUGACCCUUUAAGGGUCCUGAAGGAACGUUGAAGACGACGACGUUGAUAGGCCGGGUGUGUAAGCGCAGCGAUGCGUUGAGCUAACCGGUACUAAUGAACCGUGAGGCUUAACCUUACAACGCCGAAG
rnacentral:rRNA from 1 species